rnacentral:rRNA from 1 species
AAGAGUUUGAUCCUGGCUCAGAUUAAACGCUAGCGGUAUGCUUUACACAUGCAAGUUAAACUGUUAUUUUAAUAGUAGCGAACGGGUGAGUAAUAUAUUAUUUUAUACCUAUAUGUUCUGAAUAAAAUAGUGAAAACUCUUGUAAACCAGAAUAAAAUUAUUCUAUAUAAAAUAAUAAAAAGAAAAUAAAUAUUUAUUUUCUGCAUAUAGAUUAUUUAAUAUCAGAUUAGCUAGUUGGAAGUAUAAUAGACUAACAAGGCAAUUAUCUGUAGCUGUUCUGAGAGGAAGUACAGCCACAUUGGGACUGAGACAAGGCCCAAACUCCUACGGGAGGCAGCAGUGGGGAAUAUUGGACAAUGAGCGAAAGCUUGAUCCAGCAAUACCGCGUGUAUGAUGAAGGUAUAACUGUAAAGUACUUUUUUUUAUGAAUAAGGCAUAAUAUAGCUUGAAUGUAAUAAAAGAAUAAGCACCAGCUAACUACGUGCCAGCAGCUGCGGUAAUACGUAGGGUGCAAGCGUUAAUCGGAAUUAUUGGGCGUAAAGCGUGCGUAGGUUGUUUAUUAAGAAAAAAGUAAAAUUUUAAAGCUUAACUUUAAAAAGCUUUUUUAACUGUUAAACUAGAGUAUAAAAUGGGAGAGUAGAAUUCUAUGUGUAACGGUGAAAUGUGUAAAUAUAUAGAGGAAUACCAAAAGCGAAGGCAACUCUCUGGGUUAAUACUGACACUAAUGCACUAAAGCAUGGGGAGCAAACAGGAUUAGAUACCCUGGUAGUCCAUGCCCUAAACGAUGUCAACUAAUUAUUAGAUUAAAUAUUUAGUAAUAAAGCUAACGCGUUAAGUUGACCGCCUGGGAAGUACGAUCGCAAGAUUAAAACUCAAAGGAAUUGACGGGGACCUGCACAAGCGGUGGAUGAUGUGGAUUAAUUCGAUGCAACACGAAGAACCUUACCUACUUUUGACAUGUAUAGAAUUUAUUUGAAAGAAUAAAGUGCCUUAGGGAACUAUAACACAGGUGCUGCAUGGCUGUCGUCAGCUCGUGUCGUGAGAUGUUGGGUUAAGUCCUAUAACGAGCGUAACCCUUUCUUUUUGUUGCUACUUUUAAAAAAGGGAACUCAAAAAGAACUGCUAAUGUAAAAUUAGAGGAAGGAAAGGAUGACGUCAAGUCCUCAUGGCCUUUAUAAGUAGGGCUUCACACGUCAUACAAUGGUUAAUACAAAAAGAAGCAAGUUUGCAAAAACAAGCAAAUCUAUAAAAUUAACCUCAGUUCAGAUUGUAUUAUGAAACUCUAAUAUAUGAAGAUGGAAUCGCUAGUAAUCGUAGAUCAGAAUGCUACGGUGAAUACGUUCUCAGGUCUUGUACACACCGCCCGUCACACCAUGGAAGUGAGUUUCAUUGGAAGUAAUUCUUAAAUGAAUUAUUAAUAUGGGAUUUAUAACUGGGGUGAAGUCGUAACAAGGUAGCUGUAUCGGAAGGUGCGGCUGGAU